GAUGAAGAACGCAGCGAAAUGCGAUACGUAAUGUGAAUUGCAGAUUUCAGCGAAUCAUCGAAUCUUUGAACGCACAUUGCGCCCGCCAGUAUUCUGGCGGGCAUGCCUGUUCGAGCGUCAUUUCAACCAUCAAGCGCCUGCGCUUGUGUUGGAGCCCUGCGGCUGCCGCAGGCUCUCAAACCCAGUGGCGGGCUCGUCGUCGUACCGAGUGCAGUAAAUUUACCACGCUCAGGGCACGCGACGGGUGACCGGCCGUAAAACCCCCAUCUUCUCAAGGUUGACCUCGGAUCAGGUAGGAAUACCCGCUGAACUUAAGCAUACAAUAAGCGGAGGA
rnacentral:misc_RNA from 1 species